AGCUUCAGCGCCAAGCCGCAUAGAGGAAGUGGCGCCAGUACCACCUUCAGGUAGCAAAACGCCUCUUGCGCCAUCCACAAAGCAAAAUGUAAUUGCUCCGUCGCCCAAUCCGAUGAAGAAAAAACAGGCCCAUGUGUCUGCGUUAGAUUCUGCGUCAACCACCACGCAAACAAUAAUGGAUUGGGAUAAGUCUAAAGAAAAAUUGAUUCGACAACUGCAAAAAGUUAAAUCUACCGUUAGAUCUCUGAAACGCAGUGCAAACCUUAUAGACCGCCUCGAAUCACCAAUGGUCAAGGAAAUUGUGGAAUUGGCGUUAAAAAAUCAAAAACGUAAACCCAAAGGUCGGCGCUGGACGAAGAAAUACAAGAUAGCGUGUCUAUCGAUAUUAAAGAGAUCACCCAAGGCCUACAGCUAUUUGCGGCACUUGGUGCCGCUACCGAGUGUUAAAA